AGUUCUAGGGCCUGGGGCAUUGAUCGAGGCUGGACCAACCGCAGGCAAAAACGAUUUUGGCCGCUGGUGGGUGGGGCUAGUUUACUGGGCUACAUAUAAAUAGCUUUACUAUAAUUCAUCAGAGAUGGGAAAUGUGGAGUCAACAAGUCAUCUCCAUGUCAUGUAUUUAAUCUACCCAGCCAAUUAACAAGCAAAAUGAUGCUCCGGCUCUCCCCUCAUUUGAAUGAAACGUCAAGAAAGCAAAUUAUCAUGGGUAAUGAAGUCUUUAAGGUUUGGUGGAAAGGGGCUCUCUACUGCCAUCUGGUGGACAGGAUACUACAGGGUAACUUGCAGUACCCUCCCUGCACACAAAUUUUUUAGGAGCCUCCUGGUUGUGAACCGGUGCUCAGCCUCAUUGGGGCCCCGUGAUGGGACGUUGUUGAUUGUUGGAGCCUGAGGGACCUAAAGCAGUAAAGACCUCUGCCUAAUAAAUCCCAGCAUGGUUCCGGUUUGUCAAUAGGCAGGUUCCCUCUCUGAUCAA